UACGAAGGGGGCUAGCGUUGCUCGGAAUCACUGGGCGUAAAGCGCACGUAGGCGGACUCUUAAGUCGGUGGUGAAAUCCCAGAGCUCAACUCUGGAACUGACCUUUGAUACUGGGUAUCUUGAGUAUGGAAGAGGUAAGUGGAAUUGCGAGUGUAGAGGUGAAAUUCGUAGAUAUUCGCAGGAACACCAGUGGCGAAGGCGGCUUACUGGUCCAUACUGACGCUGAGGUGCGAAGCGUGGGAGCAACAGG
rnacentral:rRNA from 1 species